rnacentral:rRNA from 1 species
AACGAACGCUGGCGGCAUGCCUAACACAUGCAAGUCGAACGAGACCUUCGGGUCUAGUGGCGCACGGGUGCGUAACGCGUGGGAACCUGCCCUUAGGCUCGGAAUAACUCCCCGAAAGGGGUGCUAAUAUCGGAUAAUGUCUUCGGACCAAAGAUUUAUCGCCUUUGGAUGGGCCCGCGUUGUAUUAGCUAGUUGGUAGGGUAAAAGCCUACCAAGGCGACGAUCCAUAGCUGGUCUGAGAGGAUGAUCAGCCACACUGGGACUGAGACACGGCCCAGACUCCUACGGGAGGCAGCAGUGGGGAAUAUUGGACAAUGGGCGAAAGCCUGAUCCAGCGAUGCCGCGUGAGUGAUGAAGGCCUUAGGGUUGUAAAGCUCUUUUACCCGGGAUGAUAAUGACAGUACCGGGAGAAUAAGCUCCGGCUAACUCCGUG